rnacentral:tRNA from 1 species
UUCCCUGUGGCUCAGUUGGUAGAGCAUGGUGUUUGCAAUGCCAGGGUUGUGGGUUCGAUUCCCAUGGGGGGGU